rnacentral:rRNA from 1 species
CUCCUACGGGCGGCAGCAGUCGAGAAUCUUCGGCAAUGGGCGCAAGCCUGACCGAGCGACGCCGCGUGGAGGACGAAGGCCUUCGGGUUGUAAACUCCUGUCGAGGGGGAANAAGGGGUAACACCUUGACUGAUCCCUGGAGGAAGCACGGGCUAAGUUCGUGCCAGCCGCCGCGGUAAUAC